rnacentral:rRNA from 1 species
GACGGAGGGUGCGAGCGUUGUCCGGAAUUAUUGGGCGAAAAGGGCUCGUAGGCGGCCAACUAAGUCAGACGUGAAAUCCCUCGGCUUAACCGGGGAACUGCGUCUGAUACUGGAUGGCUUGAGUUUGGGAGAGGGAUGCGGAAUUCCAGGUGUAGCGGUGAAAUGCGUAGAUAUCUGGAGGAACACCGGUGGCGAAGGCGGCAUCCUGGACCAACACUGACGCUGAGUGAGCGAAAGCCAGGGGAGCAAACGGG